CUGAAGGAUUAUAUCGAAGAAUCAAAUGGUGGGGUAACGCCCUGAAGGGUUCUCUCUUAGUCGAAUAGCACUUGAAUUAGUAAGAAUAAUAGUGUUAUA
rfam:Bacillus sp. SA1-12 scf7180000003390, whole genome shotgun sequence.